rnacentral:misc_RNA from 1 species
GAUGAAGAACGUAGCGAAAUGCGAUAAGUAAUGUGAAUUGCAGAAUUCAGUGAAUCAUCGAAUCUUUGAACGCACAUUGCGCCCGCCAGUGUUCUGGCGGGCAUGCCUGUCUGAGCGUCAUUUCAACCCUCAUGCCCCUAGGGCGUGGUGUUGGGGAUCGGCCAAAGCCCGCGAGGGACGGCCGGCCCCUAAAUCUAGUGGCGGACCCGUCGUGGCCUCCUCUGCGAAGUAGUGAUAUUCCGCAUCGGAGAGCGAUGAGCCCCUGCCGUUAAACCCCCAACUUUCCAAGGUUGACCUCAGAUCAGGUAGGAAUACCCGCUGAACUUAAGCAUAUCAAUAAGCGGAGGA